UGAGUUAUGUAGGCUGCCCUAUUUUGGGCUCGGUCCAACCAAAUAAAGAUUUAAGAUUCACCCAGUCAACAAAAACUGGGGCAUGAGUUAAUGUGUUGUUUGAGUCGAUUCCAAAAGUUGUAAGUCCCACCCCCACUUCAAGUGUCGUUUGAACCCCUUGCCAUCCUUUUCUAACCUUAUCCGAAAGCCAAGUUACAACCAAAGAAAAUCCUUCAGAUCAAUUUUUGAUAAUGUUAAGGCUAAG
rnacentral:lncRNA from 1 species